rnacentral:rRNA from 1 species
UGGGGAAUUUUGGACAAUGGGCGAAAGCCUGAUCCAGCAAUGCCGCGUGUGUGAAGAAGGCCUUCGGGUUGUAAAGCACUUUUGUCCGGAAAGAAAUCCUUGGCUCUAAUACAGUCGGGGGAUGACGGUACCGGAAGAAUAAGCACCGGCUAACUACGUGCCAGCAGCCGCGGUAAUACGUAGGGUGCAAGCGUUAAUCGGAAUUACUGGGCGUAAAGCGUGCGCAGGCGGUUUGCUAAGACCGAUGUGAAAUCCCCGGGCUCAACCUGGGAACUGCAUUGGUGACUGGCAGGCUAGAGUAUGGCAGAGGGGGGUAGAAUUCCACGUGUAGCAGUGAAAUGCGUAGAGAUGUGGAGGAAUACCGAUGGCGAAGGCAGCCCCCUGGGCCAAUACUGACGCUCAUGCACGAAAGCGUGGGGAGCAAACAGGAUUAGAUACCCUGGUAGUCCACGCCCUAAACGAUGUCAACUAGUUGUUGGGGAUUCAUUUCCUUAGUAACGUAGCUAACGCGUGAAGUUGACCGCCUGGGGAGUACGGUCGCAAGAUUAAAACUUAAAUGAAUUGACGGGGUCAUAGCUGUUUCC